CCCUUAGAUGUUCUGGGUCGCACGCGCGCUACACUGAUGCAUUCAACAAGCCUAGCCUUGACCGAGAGGUCCGGGUAAUCUUUGAAACUGCAUCGUGAUGGGGCUAGAUUAUUGCAAUUAUUAAUCUUCAACGAGGAAUGCCUAGUAAGCGUGAUUCAUCAAAUCGCGUUGAUUACGUCCCUGCCCUUUGUACACACCGCCCGUCGCUCCUACCGAUUGAAUGUGUUGGUGAGGAGCUCGGAUUGGCAGCAGUUGGUGGUUCGCCACCGGCUAUUGCUGAGAAGUCCUCCAAACCGCCCCAUUUAGAGGAAGGAGAAGUCGUAACA
rnacentral:rRNA from 1 species